rnacentral:rRNA from 1 species
UACGGGGGGGGGCAAGCGUUGUUCGGAAUUACUGGGCGUAAAGGGCGCGUAGGCGGCCUGCUAAGUCACACGUGAAAUCCCUCGGCUCAACCGGGGAACUGCGUGUGAUACUGGCGGGCUUGAAUUCGGGAGAGGGAUGUGGAAUUCCAGGUGUAGCGGUGAAAUGCGUAGAUAUCUGGAGGAACACCGGUGGCGAAGGCGGCAUCCUGGACCGAGGAUUGACGCUGAGGCGCGAAAGCGUGGGGAGCGAACAGG